UACGUAGGGGGCAAGCGUUGUCCGGAAUCAUUGGGCGUAAAGCGCGCGUAGGCGGCCCGGUAAGUCCGCUGUAAAAGUCCAGGGCUCAACCCUGGAAAGCCGGUGGAUACUGUCGGGCUAGAGUCCGGAAGAGGCGAGUGGAAUUCCUGGUGUAGCGGUGGAAUGCGUAGAUAUCUGGAGGAACACCGGUGGCGAAGGCGGCAUCCUGGACCAACACUGACGCUGAGUGAGCGAAAAGCCAGGGGAGCAAACGGG
rnacentral:rRNA from 1 species